rnacentral:lncRNA from 1 species
GUGCGCUAUGGGGUCACACUGGGUGCCCUGUGGAUUAUAUGGGGUCUCCUAUGGGUUAUAUUGGGUUCCCUGUGGGGUCACACUGGCUGCCCUAUGGGUUAUAUUGCGUCUCCUAUGGGUUAUAUUGGGUCUCCUAUGGGUUGCAAUGGGUCUCCUAUGGGUUGCAAUGGCUGCCCUGCGGCUUAUAUGGGGUGCGCUAUGGGGUCACUCGGUGUGCCCUAUGGGUUAUAUUGGGUGCCCUAUGGGUUGUAUUGGAUUCCCUAUGGGGUCGCAAUGGGUGCCCUAUGGGUUCAAUUCGGUUCCCUAUGGGUUGCAAUGGCUGCCCUGCGGCUUAUAUGGGGUGCGCUAUGGGGUCACUCAGUGUGCCCUAUGGGUUAUAUGGGGUUUCCUAUGGGUUAUAUGGGUGUGCCCUAUGGGUUAUAUGGGGUUUCCUAUGGGUUAUAUUGGAUUCCCUAUGGGUUGUAAUGGUGCCCUAUGGGUUAUAUUGGGUCUCCUAUGGGUUAUAUGGGGUCUCCUAUGGGUUGCAAUGGGUCUCCUAUGGGUUGCAAUGGCUGCCCUGUGGCUUAUAUGGGGUGCGCUAUGGGGUCACACUGGGUGCCCUAUGGGUUAUAUGGGGUUUCCUAUGGGGUCACACCGGGUGCCCUAUGGGUUAUAUGGGAUUCCCUAUGGGUUAUAUUGGGUCUCCUAUGGGUUGCAAUGGGUCUCCUAUGGGUUGCAAUGGCUGCCCUGUGGCUUAUAUGGGGUGCGCUAUGGGGUCACACUGGGUGCCCUGUGGAUUAUAUGGGGUCUCCUAUGGCUUAUAUGGGGUGCGCUAUGGGGUCACACUGGGUGCCCUAUGUGUUAUAUUGGGUUCCUUAUGGGGUCACACUGGCUGCCCUAUGGGUUAAAUGGGGUUU